rnacentral:rRNA from 1 species
UCGUGGACUGAUUUGUCUGGUUGAUUCCGUUAACGAGCGAGAUCUUAACCUGCUAAAUAGGCCGCCAACACUACCAUGUUGGUAGCGCCUUCUUAGCGCAAGGAAGUUUGAGGCAAUAACA